rnacentral:rRNA from 1 species
GUGGGGAAUAUUCCGCAAUGGACGAAAGUCUGACGGAGCAACGCCGCGUGAGUGAUGAAGGUUUUCGGACUGUAAAGCUCUGUUGUUUGGGACGAAAGUGCCUGCUGCGAACAGUUACAGGUAUUGACGGUACUGAACGAGGAAGCCACGGCUAACUACGUGCCAGCAGCCGCGGUAAUACGUAGGUGGCAAGCGUUGUCCGGAAUUAUUGGGCGUAAAGAGCAUGUAGGCGGGAAUCUAAGUCUGUUGUGAAAAUGCGGGGCUCAACCCCGUAUUGCGAUGGAAACUGGGUUUCUUGAGUGCAGGAGAGGAAAGGGGAAUUCCCAGUGUAGCGGUGAAAUGCGUAGAUAUUGGGAGGAACACCAGUGGCGAAGGCGCCUUUCUGGACUGUGUCUGACGCUGAGAUGCGAAAGCCAGGGUAGCGAACGGGAUUAGAUACCCUGGUAGUCC